rnacentral:rRNA from 1 species
GACGAACGCUGGAGGCGUGCUUAACACAUGCAAGUCGAACGAUGAAAUGGAGCUUGCUCCAUGGAUUAGUGGCGAACGGGUGAGUAACACGUGAAUAACCUGCCCUUAAUUUUGGAAUAACCCAGGGAAACCUGGGCUAAUACCGGAUAAGUAAACCUGUGGCAUCACAUGGUUUUGGAAAGUUUUUCGAUUAAGGAUGGAUUCGCGGCCUAUCAGGUGGUUGGUGAGGUAAUGGAUCACCAAGGCGACGACGGGUAGCCGGCCUGAGAGGGGGAACGGCCACACUGGGACUGAGACACGGCCCAGACUCCUACGGGAGGCAGCAGUGGGGAAUAUUGCGCAAUGGACGAAAGUCUGACGCAGCGAUGCCUCGUGAGGGACGAAGGUCUUCGGAUUGUAAACCUCUUUCAGCAGGGACGAAGCGAAAGUGACGGUACCUGCAGAAGAAGCACCGGCUAACUAUGUGCCAGCCGCCGCCGUAA